rnacentral:miRNA from 1 species
GCUUCUGGCUCAGCUGCGCGAAGCCUCUUCAGGGCAGUGGGAGCCUUCAUCCCGCUGCCCUGAAGAGGCUUCGCGCAGCUAUCCCAGAAGC